GAAGCGCCGUGAGACGCGAGCCGCGGGGUCGGGACGCACGCAGCCUCGGGUGGGGCCGGGGGGCGUACAGGACGUAGUCCAGGUUCCGGGUGGCUCGGCGCGGCCCGGCUCUGCCCCCACGUGGCCCGGCAACCUGCGCGCGCUCUCCAGGAGCUGCCAUCACGAAGGAGGGACGGCUCUGUUAUGGAAGCUGGCCAUCCGAGACCCAUGAGCCUGCAGGGCUGAUUCAUCCGAGGCUGACUCUGAGGAUCUGUCCAGUCCGUGGCAAACUACUCAAAAGCUGAAGACCUAGAAGAGACUCUGUGACUUUCUGAAAACAGCUGUCCACAGGUGAAAACAGACUCAGGCUCUAGGGGAGUAGAGUUGAAAACACACCAACAGUCAUGGGAUUUGAGUUUCUAACCAAGAGUUGCCUGAUUCCAGACAAGACAGGAGAAAGGCUGCCUGCAUGCAUUGAGCUUGGAACUGGAUAACAGAGUGCUCCGAAUGGUGAGAAUCCACUGGGUAUCAGCUACUUUGACACCACUGAGAGGAGACAAGGGCACACCUCAUUUGGAAUUCACAGGGGGGACCUGCUUGUCUUAUUGUGGCUUAAACCUUUAGCUCACACCACUGAGUGUAGGACAGCUGUGGCUUGCAAAAAGAGACAACCAAAGCCUUGAGUAACUGUGUUUGGUUUUACACUCCCUGUCCAGUUUUCCCUCUCCAUUUGUUUCAGUAGCCGCCCCCUCUUGGUACUCUGAAACUUAUGUUGAUCCACGUGUUAGUUGUUUAAGCCUGCAAGUAUGUUUCCCUGUAUGUGAUCUUCCACAUUUUAAGGGCCCCUCUGACACCGUGAGCAACUUGCCUUGGCCCAUACCUGCUUUCAGAGUAACUAUGAAUACCCUGAUUAAGGUGCAAUACAACCUUAGAAUCACCUGUGCUGAGAGCAUCCCAC